GCCUGGUAAGGGGGUUAGUAACUGACAGCUCGGCCUCGAAACGAGAAGCCUCAAGUAGGUCAGACUGUGUCAACGGUUUGAAAUCCAGAGUCCACCCCAGUGGGCUUAAGGGAGUAGAGCAGCAGGAGACUCCUGGUGAUUAUAAUCAGUCCACACAGAUUAUCAGUUAAUGGUUCCAAACCCGCAGGCUCCAACACCCCAAGAGUAAACAAAACAGAGCCGAAUUAGGACAGAAGAACGGAUACACCUCACCAGAAAAGGAGGAGCUUUGAGAGUAGACAGCAAAAGUGCAUAAACGAGAAAGCACAGCCAUGGGGAUGGAAUCAAGCAACACAAGAGGAAAAUUUUAAAUAUAAAUUUCUUAAAUAAAAAAGUUAUGCAUAUUCA